UGGGCUGGAGUCGGCGACUCCUAUAUGUAUUGAUGACUCUUCUGCGCACCGCCCUGCACCAUUGGUCGUGAGCGCAGAAGGACGAAUCGUAUCGGGACUGAGCCCGAACCAAGGUCCUUCUCUGAAGAGAAAGAGAAGGCGCACCACUGGCAAGGGCAAAGUGCAUGUGCCCGAGGAAAGCGAAGGGGUCCCUCCUCCUCUAAACAUAAACAUCGAGGAGCCUAUGAUUGUGGACCGUGGUGCACCCAUUCCACGACGACGGGCAGGUCGGCGUGCCGAAAGAACUCCGCCACCUCCCGUGGAUCUGAAUGCCAGUCGAGACCCAGACCUCGACUUGAACACAUACAUUGGAGCUGUGAACCCCUCUGGGUUCGCUCAUUGCGAAAUCGCCUUGAAUGGCGUGCCAAGGUUGCUACCUGUCGGCCGUUCUGGAGACGGCGAAUACGAGUAAGUGAUGACCCACGCAACCUUGGACGGGUCUGAUGGAGUGAAUCCCCCCUCUAAU
rnacentral:lncRNA from 1 species